rnacentral:lncRNA from 1 species
CUCAGAACCACGCGGAACCUGCACGCGGGUUUGCCAUCAAAUUGUGUGGCCGUGACAUUCAAACAAACAGCAACUUCAAGUUCAAACGGUUGUUGUUUUCAAGUUGAAAAUUCCGCUUAAAUGUCCUCGUCUGGUAACACCUCCAUUUCUGUGGAACACAUCAUCUCUGGAAGGACCUUCAACUCGGGCCUCCAAGAAUUCUUAUCAAGGGCCAGGGUUGUGGCUCAGUGGUAGAAAGAGCACUUGCCUAGCAUGCGUAAGGCCCUGGGUUCCAUCCUCAGCUCCACAUUUUAAAAAAUAAACAAAAUAAAGUUAAAAAAUACAUUUAAAAAAAAAAGAAUUCCUACCAAUAAUAUUCUCCAGAAAAUGAGCCACUAGGAUGAAAUAACACCCCUCCCGCCCCUCAACAAUGCCCAAGGAAACAAGCCACCAAAAAGUCCCCAGAGGGAACACCUUGAUGUCACAUUUCUGGCUUCCAGAACUAUAGGAGAAUUGAUUUAUAGGAUUUUGAAUAUUUUUAAGCCACUAAGAUUAUGGCAGAUUUGUUCUGGCAGCCCGAGGACACUAAUGCAAGGGAAGAGGAGGCAGCCUAUGAAAUGAUGGAUGGGAAAUUUUUACAAACAGUUAUAAAUCGUCAAUACCCAGAUCCAGUGAUCCCAGUUAAUCCCACACAUAGCUGUUCAAAAGGAAUCCCCACCUCAACACAUUGUGUAGCAGUUCAGAACACCAAAGACAACAAGAAGAUCCCAAGAGCAGACAAAGAGAAGACAUACUGCCCAGGGGCCGCCUUCUGGACAGCUCGCAGUGGAUGCUAGAAGACAGUACGACAGGAUCUUCAAAUGGCUUAGAGAAAGUGACUUGUCCGAGUUGGGCAAGGUACACAGCCAAACCACCGUUCCAGAAUGAGAGUCAAGUGAUAUUCUUAGGCACGUAAAAUUCCUACCAAUAAUUCUCAAAGGGAAUUCCAGGGUCUACAUCAGAAGAAGGAAAAUGAUACUGACUUUAGAAGGUUUAAGAACAAAGGAAAAAAUAAAGUAGUAAAUAUGAGAUAGUUUUAAGUAAACCUGGACUGUAUACAAUAGGGAUAUGGCCUAGAGAUAGGCUGCAUUAGUGCUUGCUUGUCACUGAGCCUUGUCCUCGUCUUAUGUUGCAGGGUUAGGGGCUAGAAGCUAUAUUGCAGAGACUCCCAUGGUGGCAGGAUUUCAGGCUAGGUUCUGACAAUGAGAAGCACCCACAUGGGACUCCAAGAUGGCCAAGAUGCAGAAGGAUUCUUGCUCCUUGUCCUAGAAGCAGUAGCAGUAGACAGGAACACUGAGGAGACUUGUGCCUGUUGUCAGUCAGAUUUCUGCAGUUUCUGAUACCUGGGUAGUAUUCCUCAACCCACUAUUUUGUUCCUACAGUCCUUCCAACAAAUUCAUAUAGAGCACAGUUUCUCAUAUCUCUGGUUUUACACAAAGGAGAGUCACAUCCUUCGUGUCUUCUUACAUGUACUUAGGGUAAAGAUGACCAUCGUAUUCUACCAACUUUCCUACCCCUAGGCCCCCUCAUUUCCCUUUUCCCCUUUGUCCUAUCUAGAGUUCAUUUACUCCUCCCAACUCCACCCCCAGCAUAUUAUGGAUCAGCAUCCUUAAAUCAGAGAAAUCAUUCGGCAUUAGUUUUUUGGGGGAUUGGCCGAUUUCACUUUGCAUUAUAUUCUCCAGCUUCAUCCAUUUACCUGCAAAUGCCAGAUUUUAUUCCCUUUUAAUGCUGAAUAAUAUUCCAUUGUGUAUAUAUACACCAAUUUUUCUUUAUCCAUUCAUCUAUUGAAGGGCAUCUAGCUUGGCUCCACAGUUUAGCUAUUGUGAAUUGUGCUGCUAUAAACAUUGAUGUAGCUAUGUCCCU